UACAGAGGGGGCGAGCGUUGUUCGGAAUUCCUGGGCGUACAGGGCGCGUAGGCGGCCUGCUAAGUCAUACGUGAAAUCCCUCGGCUCAACCGGGGAACUGCGUGUGAUACUGGCGGGCUUGAAUUCGGGAGAGGGAUGCGGAAUUCCAGGUGUAGCGGUGAAAUGCGUAGAUAUCUGGAGGAACACCGGUGGCGAAGGCGACAUCCUGGACCGGUAUUGACGCUGAGGCGCGAAAGCCAGGGGAGCAAACGGG
rnacentral:rRNA from 1 species